GGAUUGUCCCCGUUUGACAACAAUAUUUCCAACCGAGACAUCCUUCCGAAUCUUGACAAAUUUAGUGGUGAAGAAUUCCUUUGGAUUGGUACAUCUAGUAACGACUUCAGCAGUCACAAAUUUGGUACAUCUCACUUAUAUGACUAUAAUAGGAUGUGAAAGAAUGAAAGAAAUAGUGGCCGACGAUGGAAACAGAGAAGGAAAAGUGAUUUCUUUUGAAAAGCUAAGAUGGUUGACACUUGAACAUAUGCCAAACUUAGAAUGCUUCUCUUCCAUCCCAAGUUGCAUCUUUAGGUUUCCAUCCUUAUGGACUAUUGAAGUGGAAGAGUGUCCGAAAAUGAAGAACUUUUCUAAGGGUACACUAAGCACACCAAAACUAGAAGAUGUGUCACUGUUCAGAUACAAGUGGGAAGAGAAUUGGGAGAAGGGUGAUGAUCUCAAUACAACCAUACAGAAGUUAGCAGCAUAAAUCAAUGCACAUAGAAUUGUAGGAAGCAAAGCGGGUCUCUCCUUCUCCUUCUCCUUCUUGACGCCAAAGGCUCUUUCUCCAUCUUUCUUCUUCUUCUUCUUCUUCCUCCGUGGAGCGAAAUUGGGGGAAGCCUCUGCUGCCUUCACAAAGGACGGAGCAAAAAUGAAGCAUCAGGAAUUGCCAGGACUGCGAGAAGUGAAGCUGCAAUUAGCGGAGCGGAGCCAAGUAGAUUCAACCAGACGCUGUCGUUGUCGCCGUCGUCACCGCCGGAGGUGGCACAACCGAGUCUGGACAGUUAGUCGUCCACUCACUUCAUCAAAGAAGAAGAAGAUCACACUCUCUCUCCGCAUCUGUAUCCGACAAAUCGCUGGUCCAAACAUUUGAGCAAAUUGAGGCAUCCUGAGCUGGUUUUUUAAGGUCCCAUGCGCCCAAGGCCACUCACUGCUCUUACAUCGGCCAACAAAUUUCAAAUGGAGCAUCCCAAUGGAGCAUUCCUUUUUCAAAGGUGGUGAGGAGGCCCUCUUAUGUUGACUUUGGCUUGGCAACAUAAUCAGGAAAACAAGCAAAUUGCAACUCUCACGUAUUCAGACAGGUUGUGGACGGUGAAGCUCAGGAUCCAUGGACUUUUUUUUUUUGCUGUUUGACACCCAAUUGCUAGAGAAGCUCGUUUGCAUUUAGGAGAUGUUUGUGUGUUUGAGCUCAUUGAUAGGGGGGAUGUGUGUUUAGAGUCUACAUUUCCACUAGUGCUGGUAAGGACUUGGUUUACAUUGACCGAAAUAAACUAUGGAAGUGUCUCUUUAGAUAGUCCAAAAUAAAUUCAGUAUUCACAGUUAUAUCUCUUUGUUUAGUCUUGGUGAAUCAAUGAAGUGUACGUCUUCCGUUCCCAUUGGGUUUGUGAGUUUCACAAUAAUCCAGAUGCACACUCAUUAAUGCUACAUCCCAAGUCUAAAUGAACCAAAAAGAAUGUGCUUCAAUGUCAAAGCAAAGAUUAUAACCUAAAACGCUCAGCAUGAGAAUUUAGAGGUGU